rnacentral:rRNA from 1 species
UACGUAGGGGGCAAGCGUUGUCCGGAAUCAUUGGGCGUAAAGCGCGUGUAGGCGGCUUGGUAAGUCCGCUCUGAAAGCCCGGGGCUCAACCCCGGGAGGCGGGUGGAUACUGUCAAGCUCGAGUCCGGAAGAGGCGAGUGGAAUUCCUGGUGUAGUGGUGAAAUGCGUAGAGAUCGGCAGGAACACCCAGGGGGAAACCAGUGGACUGGCACGGUGCUGACACUCAUGUGCGAAAGCGUGGGGAGCGAACCGG